rnacentral:rRNA from 1 species
GAUGAACGCUGGCGGCGUGCCUAAUACAUGCAAGUCGAGCGAACGGACGAGAGGCUUGCUUCUCUGAUGUUAGCGGCGGACGGGUGAGUAACACGUGGAUAACCUACCUAUAAGACUGGGAUAACUUCGGGAAACCGGAGCUAAUACCGGAUAAUAUUUUGAACCGCAUGGUUCAAAGGUGAAAGACGGUCUUGCUGUCACUUAUAGAUGGAUCCGCGCUGCAUUAGCUAGUUGGUAAGGUAACGGCUUACCAAGGCAACGAUGCAUAGCUGACCUGAGAGGGUGAUCGGCCACACUGGAACUGAGACACGGUCCAGACUCCUACGGGAGGCAGCAGUAGGGAAUCUUCCGCAAUGGGCGAAAGCCUGACGGAGCAACGCCGCGUGAGUGAUGAAGGUCUUCGGAUCGUAAAACUCUGUUAUUAGGGAAGAACAUAUGUGUAAGUAACUGUGCACAUCUUGACGGUACCUAAUCAGAAAGCCACGGCUAACUACGUG